UACACAUGCAGUCGAGCGGUAACAGAGAGAAGCUUGCUUCUCGCUGACGAGCGGCGGACGGGUGAGUAAUACUUAGGAAUCUACCUAGUAGUGGGGGAUAGCUCGGGGAAACUCGAAUUAAUACCGCAUACGACCUACGGGAGAAAGGGGGCAACUUGUUGCUCUCGCUAUUAGAUGAGCCUAAGUCGGAUUAGCUAGAUGGUGGGGUAAAGGCCUACCAUGGCGACGAUCUGUAGCUGGUCUGAGAGGAUGAUCAGCCACACCGGGACUGAGACACGGCCCGGACUCCUACGGGAGGCAGCAGUGGGGAAUAUUGGACAAUGGGGGCAACCCUGAUCCAGCCAUGCCGCGUGUGUGAAGAAGGCCUUUUGGUUGUAAAGCACUUUAAGCAGUGAAGAAGACUCCAUGGUUAAUACCCAUGGACGAUGACAUUAGCUGCAGAAUAAGCACCGGCUAACUCUGUGCCAGCAGCCGCGGUAAUACAGAGGGUGCAAGCGUUAAUCGGAAUUACUGGGCGUAAAGCGAGCGUAGGUGGCUUGAUAAGUCAGAUGUGAAAGCCCCGGGCUUAACCUGGGAACGGCAUCUGAUACUGUUAGGCUAGAGUAGGUGAGAGGAAGGUAGAAUUCCAGGUGUAGCGGUGAAAUGCGUAGAGAUCUGGAGGAAUACCGAUGGCGAAGGCAGCCUUCUGGCAUCAUACUGACACUGAGGUUCGAAAGCGUGGGUAGCAAACAGGAUUAGAUACCCUGGUAGUCCACGCCGUAAACGAUGUCUACUAGUCGUUGGGUCCCUUGAGGACUUAGUGACGCAGCUAACGCAAUAAGUAGACCGCCUGGGGAGUACGGCCGCAAGGUUAAAACUCAAAUGAAUUGACGGGGGCCCGCACAAGCGGUGGAGCAUGUGGUUUAAUUCGAUGCAACGCGAAGAACCUUACCUGGUCUUGACAUAUCUAGAAUCCUGCAGAGAUGCGAGAGUGCCUUCGGGAAUUAGAAUACAGGUGCUGCAUGGCUGUCGUCAGCUCGUGUCGUGAGAUGUUGGGUUAAGUCCCGCAACCAGC
rnacentral:rRNA from 1 species